rnacentral:lncRNA from 1 species
CUCAGUUUCUCCCCCUCCUCUCUAAAGUAAUAUCACAUGAUGCCUUGACUAUUUUGUCAUAUGACGCUGAUGAGAGGACUGAUUCUGCUGCAAAGAGGGAACACUGGCCCUUCCUCUUUUAACAUCAGAGCUGCUCUACCAUCAGGGAUGAGAUGCUGCAUUGGGCACUAACUGGGUUUACUUGUAGCUGCUACUGGUAAUGGUAAUGUGCAGGAUGGGGGGAGUGCGAGGACUUCUACCUGUAGUCUCUGCUUGUUUACUGGGUUUGGUUCUGAGCCAAACCACACUCACCCCUGUUGUGAUGAACACCACUGUCAUCACAAAUGUGACCAGUGUGACUCCAACACCCGUGAUUUUUAGCAGUACAACCCCAGGCUGCUUUGCUUUUAAUGUUUCUACUUGUGAGGCCUGUGCACCGGGAUCCCGAUACGACAACAACACACUGCUGUGCACAUGUUGCCCCAAUCCCGGGCUGUGUCUAUUUCCUGGGGCCUGCCUGCCCUGUGACAGGGGCUUUUAUCAACCUCUGAUUGGACAGCAGCGCUGUCUACCCUGCAGUCAGGGCUUCUACACCAAUUUCACUGGAAGCCCUUUAUGUCAACCAUGCCCUGCAGGGUCCUUCAACAACAACACGGGUAGAGACAGUUGUACAAGUUGUUCACCAGGAUUCCAUUCGUCCCAGCAGAGUGCUACUUCUUGUUCACCAUGUUCUGUUGGACGUUUUUGCAACUCAUCUGGCUGCUCCGAGUGUCAAACAUGUCCUACUGGAACAGAAGCGCUGCAGGCAGCUGCUAAAGACUGCACUCCAUGUCGCCCAGGCAUGCAUAAGGCCCCUCAUCAGACCACGUGUCAGAUCUGUAGCAGUGGCUUCUACCAGAUCCACUGGGGACAGGAAAACUGUGAUUUAUGCCCGGAAAAUCACUACUGCCCAAGCCCAGAUGUGAACCCCAUCCAGUGUCCCAGUGAUGCUUUCUGUCCGAUGGGCAGCAUGGCCCCCGGGUACUGCAUGGAGACGUUCUUCCGUAAAGCAGGGGACACUUGUGAAUUGGCUCCUGUUACCAUUGCGUUUUUAGUCGUCGGUGGAGGGGUGGCUUUACUCUUCAUCGUUUUACUGGUUGUGCGUCGACGGAGAGAUCCAGACGCUGAGCUGGCGAGUGCUAGAGCUCCUCUUUUACGCAAAGUGAGACCUCAGGGUCGAAACUAUGGGCUGCCCUGUGACGCAGAGCCUGUCUACGCUGGCUGGUGAACCAUCAAAGACUAAAGAACUGCCAAUGAUCCUACAAUACAUGCAAUCUAGCAGAAGUUUCAUAUUUGUAUGAGCAGUGGUGGCUUUUUGAACAUAUAAUUGUUUGACUUGAAGAAAGCUGUUCCUUUUGUAUAUUGGUUUAUUGGAUUCUGAAAAGCGUGUUAUAACACAUGGAAAAACAACGAGAUGCAUGUCUCAAUGUGGUGGGAACCUGUUACACUUUUAUUCCUGAGGUAAUGGAUUCACUUUGCAUUCAUACUGUAUGUUAGUGGACUGCUGUGUGUGACCAGUUUCUUUGUGAACUUCUCGUGCUAUUUUUUAAAAAUGUUUUUGUUCUAUUGUAAGUAAUGUUUUUUUUGUAGUUUUGUUGAUAUAUUUGGGCAAUGGUUGGUUUUCUUGUGCUUUUAAGGGGGGCACAUGUAAAGGAAAAUAGACAGAUCAUUGUAUUUUCUAAUGGUUUUGUAAUUAAUGCAACAAUUUUUGACAACCUCUCUCAAUGUCCCAAAAACAAGCAUGAAUAGCCCUAUUUGUAUUACUUUACUG